rnacentral:rRNA from 1 species
GAUACCCUGGUAGUCCACGCAGAUAACGAUGAAUACUAAUUGUCCGGGCAGAGAGAUGCCUGGGUGAUACAGCGAAAGCGUUAAGUAUUCCACCUGGGGAGUACGCCGGCAACGGUGAAACUCAAAGGAAUUGACGGGGGCCCGCACAAGCGGAGGAACAUGUGGUUUAAUUCGAUGAUACGCGAGGAACCUUACCCGGGCUCAAACGACACAGGAAUACUUUUGAAAGGAGGUAGCCAGCAAUGGUCUGUGUCGAGGUGCUGCAUGGUUGUCGUCAGCUCGUGCCGUGAGUUGUCGGCUUAAGUGCCAUAACGAGCGCAACCCCUACCGCCAGUUGCCAGCAGGGUAAAGCUGGGGACUCUGGCGGGACUGCCGGCGCAAGCUGCGAGGAAGGCGGGGAUGACGUCAAAUCAGCACGGCCCCUUACGUCGGGGGCGACACACGUGUUACAAUGGCAGGUACAGCGGGGAGCCACCUGGCGACAGGGCGCGGAAACCCGAAAACCUGUCUCAG